GUUUGAUCUCAGACUGCUGUGCUAGCAAUCAGCGAGACUCCGUGGGCGUAGGACCCUCCGAGCCAGGUGCGGGAUAUAAUCUCGUGGUGCGACGCUUUUUAAGCCCUUCAGAAAAGCGCAGUGUUCGGGUGGGAGUGACCCGAUUUUCCAGGUGCCGCCCGUCACCCCUUUCUUUGACUCAGAAAGGGAACUCCCUGACCCCUUGCGCUUCCCAAGUGAGGCAAUGCCUCGCCCUGCUUCGGCUCGCGCACGGUGCGCGCACCCGCUGACCUGCACCCACUGUCUGGCACUCCUUAGUGAGAUGAACCCGGUACCUCAGAUGGAAAUGCAGAAAUCACCCGUCUUCUGCGUCGCUCACGCUGGGAGCUGUAGACCGGAGCUGUUCCUAUUCGGCCAUCUUGGCUCCUCCUGUAACAAUUUCUUGAGAUGGCUCCUCUUAGAACUAUGCAUCUCUCCUGAUACUUGGAUGCUUUUCCUCUGACUGAUGAAGAUCCUGAAUACCAAAGAGGGCCGCUGACAGGUCUAGGAGUACACUUCUAGCACCUAGCAGAGAGAGGCUUCACUACAUCAUGCUUCCUGACAUCUCUCCCUUUGAAGAGCAGUCAGACUCCUGCUUUGCUCUUCAGACUUAAUUUGGGGGUUUAACAGGUGAGGUUGCUGGGGGAACUCUUUUACAACAUCUCUCUGAAAGAAUCCGGGCUGCCAGUUUCAUUUGGUUUGGGUGUCAGUAGCAUGAUGGAAAGACAAAAAAACACAACUUGACAUCUGCAGAAAUGGGUUCAAAUUUUACCUGCAACUCACCAAUUCUGUGGCCUUGGUUCAGCAAUUAAACUCCCUAAAAUUCAGUUUUUUCUUUGUAAAAUGGGGUUAUGAACAGUACCUACUUCAAAAUGUGUUUGUGAAGAUUAAAAAAGUUAACAUAAAGAGUUUAGAAGAGUGUCUG
rnacentral:lncRNA from 10 species